rnacentral:lncRNA from 1 species
AAAAACACAUAUAUAGUAACUUUUUUCUGCUUAUUAGUUUUCACGCCUUUUUAUUCUAUCAUUUGCUUUUUAUGUUGGAUUAUCAAAGGCAUUUAUAAAUCAUUGAAAAUAUUAAUUUUAGAUUAUUUAACUAUUUUCAAUCGGUUAUCUAAACAAGGAUCAUGUUACUUCGAUAAUAACCAAUUAAAAUUUUUUAUACAAGUGAAUAAGUACAUUGCAAUAGGGAAAGGAGGAAAUGAUUUAAAAAUAUAGAGAUUGAACCUUGAACCUCAUGUCAAUAAACUUAAAAUCCGCACAAAUUUAUCGCUGAGCAAGUGGAACAUCCACACUAACCAAUUAGUUGCUAUAUUAAAUCGAUUGCUGAAUAGAAUAGCCAAAAUAGAAGCUCAACUAAAUAUGCACAAUAUCAACACCUAAUUUGUUUGUAAAUUGAAUCACAAUGAUCAACAUUAUAGUAGUUUGUUUUCAAAGGUGGCCUUUCUAGAACCUGCAAUUUCAUUGAAACAUCACCAGAAACUUAAAGAGAACAAAGACAGAGUAAUAGUUAUUACAGGCACUUGCUUAGCUGCAGGUUUCUUGUUGUUCCUUACUGGAGUUUGGUGACUUUAUAGGAAACUACAUAAAAGAAGAAAAAUAAAACGCAAGCAAGAAUAACCUAACGUGUUGAUCCAAUCGAGCAUAAUGGCCAGAGUUCACUAAUUUUGUCAAAAACUAUUAAUAGAUCUCUAUUGUUCCUAUUUAUUUUAGCAUAAUAGAAAAAAAUCUCACCUAUAAAAUCAAUUGCAUAAGACACGUCGAAAAAACAAAGCAAAGCAGCAAGGGUUACAGAGAGAUGUGAAGAGGCAGUAAAGCAGUUGCCAGAAAAAAUAAUAGCAGCAAGGGUUGCAAAGAGACGUGAAGAGGCAACAAAGCAGUUGCCAAAAAAAAAUAAUAGCAGCAAGGCAGAGACGUGAAGAUUCAAUUUUAAUUAAGGUUGAGUAAUUUUUAAUUGGGAUUUUAGGGAUUUAUGAUUAAAAAUCUCUACUGUUCCUAUCUAUUUU